ensembl:lncRNA
CCUGUAUCUUGUGAAAGGUGUUCCUCCUGCACUGCGGUGACCUGAUCCGAACAAACCUUUCACUCUGACAGUCGACGAACGUGACGGAGAGGAACACAAGCGUCUGGCUGAGCUCCAGACUCAAUGCACACCUUGACCUGGACCUUCAGGACACACCAGGGUCCAGCAGCGACAUGGUGAUGCAUGUGGACGGAUCUGCUUCACGGGAUCCACUGACUGGGACUAAUCUUCUUGGUUUUGCUGUAAUUUCUGAUUUAGCUGUGCGUUGAUCUGGACCCCCACCCCCGACCCAGACAGCCAAGCUCAUGCCACUCACUGGCAAACUGGAUGAGGGUAAAACAGUCAGCAUUCACACAGAUUCGAGGCUGCCAUCAGGUCAUAUUUCCCAUCACGCCGUCGCCUCUUGUUGGAACAUGCUGCUGUCAGAUUGUCAGAUUCAUCACAAGUUUAAACAGAUAUGGAGCUGGCUGCAGGUGAGAGGAACUACACCUUGUUCGCUGAGUCCCAGUUUGUCUAAUCUUCACGUUUCGUCAGCCAACACGGAUGAAAACCCCCGGUGUGUGUGUGUGUGUGUGUCUGUUACUCCUGCCCGUCGCCAAAAACACAAAACACUGUACAUGCUGGUCGGAGGAAAGAGGGAAGGAUACCACACGGGGGGUGUGGUUGAGUUUAUGAAAUUACAGUGUUUCUAGUAGCUCUGCACCGGGCUGUGUAAUACGACACUGUGGCUUUCCCUUUAUAAAAUUGCACGUUCAGUGAGGCCACCACGAGCAGAACUAUGGACCCCGAGACUGGAACAAAAGGGGGAGGCUCCGGCCUUAGUUCUUCAUCGUAAGCCUUCGUCUUGUCACUGAUGGACAGAUUGAAUGGCCGAGCGUCCGCGACCACUUUAAAGUGCCAUACAAG